rnacentral:lncRNA from 1 species
AUGGGACAUGCUGAUGAGCAGACCCCGUGCUUUGCUGCUACCUGGAUGCAUGGCCAUCGUUCAGAGCUGUCUGCAGUCGCCAAGAGGGACCUGGAGCUGCCACUCCUGAUGUCCUUGGUGCAGGGACAGCCCUCCUUUCCCUGCCUCUUGGGUUGUGGUUUUGAGAAGCCUGAAAUAAAGACAAAGCUAAUGGCAAAGAUGAGCAAUGCUGCCGCAUCACUGCCAGCCGUGAGCUCGAGUCCUCAGCUCCUUUCCUGGGGCCAUCCCAGGCAGCGAUGCUGUGCACAUCUGGGCUAUGGUUUCACACCGGGACCAGACACCCGUGAUGGGUGCUGCGGUCAGACCUGGGUUCUCUUCUCACCCCAUCCCUCGUGCAAACCAAACCUCCAAUUGUCUUGUGUAUCAGACAAAAUGGGGUUGUCAGUGGCAGUGGGGGAAAACCCCUGUUCCUGGGUAAAAAGCAAACCCCAGCUCCUCCAAAGGAUGGGCUGGGUUGUAUUUGGGCACAGGCAUGUAUGUGUUUUAAGCAACGUUUAUUAGCGAAGUAUUCCAUGUAGAAAGAUGCGCCUGGCUUUGAUUUAUGUUACACGAGAAACAUCUCGGCCAGGGCCAAAAGCACAGAGCUUAGAGACGGGGGGACACGAAGCAAACUGUUCCUUCUGUGCUGCAUAAUGAGAUGUUUGCUGUGCGACAAUUAUGUAAGUGGUUUCGUGUUAGCGGGUUCAAAACAAAUCUAUGAAUACAGCAUGUAUUUUGAAAUGCAUUGCUGUGCCUGCAAACGAGCCUCCUAAAAAAGAGUCCCCGCGUGGAGCCGGAGCGCUGCGUGAAUGCGUUCAGUCCAUACAGCUUGGGGAAGUUCCUCGGAAAUAACCUCAUUCCCCAGAAUUCUUCCUCUUCCCUCUUCUUGUUCUACUUGGGGCCACGUUUGUGCAAUGCUUUGUGGUGGUGUUCCCCAAAUAGACCCUCUAAGGGCUGGCGUGGCUGCACCCUAAGUCCUGGAACAAGGCAUCCCAUGGGUGUAUAGGAACUACCUGCUGCAGAACGGAUGCGUUUCUGGGGAGGGGUGUUUUCCCAAAAAGCCAUGCGUGAGAAAUUACCUUUGGGAAGCAAAAGCCAAAAAAUAAGAAGGGAACGAUGUUAAACAGGAGCGACUCCAACCCGCACGAGCUUUAUUUGCAAACAACACCCAAAGCUGCUGGAGCGCUGCCACCCCUCUCUUACAAACCCGGCGCAGGCAGCGUGCAGUGCGGUCGGUGCUGCAGAGGGGUGUGUGCUCUCUCAGGUCUGCCUGGAUGGGGGUCAGGGGGGGUUAUUGCCGUGCUGCCCACUGCCUGAGAUGGGUGGAAGCCUCUUCUCCACGCUGCAGAAAGGAUGGGCGCAAUGUGCCGGCGCCAAUGGGAAUUGAUGGGUCCCCCCGCCUGGCAGAGCAGAGCAAAUCCCCUCGUCCUUUUAUCCCUACAAAUGUGGGGAGUGCUUUUUUUUUAUCGUUAUUUUCAACACAAAACACG